ACUUGAUGAUGUGGGCAUUUGCGCAAGAGGUCCCUAAAGCACUAUCAUGUCUCAGAAAAUUGUUCUUCAUCCAAUUUUAAGAAACUAGUUAUUGCCUUCUUUAGCU